rnacentral:rRNA from 1 species
UACGGAGGGUGCGAGCGUUGUUCGGAAUCAUUGGGCGUAAAGCGCGUGUAGGCGGCUUGGCAAGUCGGUUGUGAAAUCCCGGGGCCCAACCCCGGACUUGCAAUCGAAACUGCCUCGCUAGAGUCCCGGAGAGGAAGGCGGAAUUCCCGGUGUAGAGGUGAAAUUCGUAGAUAUCGGGAGGAACACCAGUGGCGAAGGCGGCCUUCUGGACGGUGAAUGACGCUGAGACGCGAAAGCGUGGGGAGCAAACAGG